rnacentral:rRNA from 1 species
GAUGAACGCUGGCGGCGUGCUUAACACAUGCAAGUCGAACGGAAAGGCCCAAGCUUGCUUGGGUACUCGAGUGGCGAACGGGUGAGUAACACGUGGGUGAUCUGCCCUGCACUUCGGGAUAAGCCUGGGAAACUGGGUCUAAUACCGGAUAGGACGAUGGUUUGGAUGCCAUUGUGGAAAGUUUUUUCGGUGUGGGAUGAGCUCGCGGCCUAUCAGCUUGUUGGUGGGGUAAUGGCCUACCAAGGCGUCGACGGGUAGCCGGCCUAAGAGGGUGUACGGCCACAUUGGGACUGAGAUACGGCCCAGACUCCUACGGGAGGCAGCAGUGGGGAAUAUUGCACAAUGGGCGCAAGCCUGAUGCAGCGACGCCGCGUGGGGGAUGACGGCCUUCGGGUUGUAAACUCCUUUCGCUAGGGACGAAGCGUUUUUGUGACGGUACCUGGAGAAGAAGCACCGGCUAACUACGUG